rnacentral:rRNA from 1 species
GGGUCAGUAGGUUGGUCGUGCCACCGGUACGUACUGGUCUCACUGAUUCCUCCUUCCUGAAGAACCGUAAUGCCAUUAAUUUGGUGUUGCGGGGAAACAGGACUGUUACUUUGAAAAAAUUAGAGUGUUUAAAGCAAGCUAACGCUUGAAUACAUUAGCAUGGAAUAAUGAAAUAGGACGAUCGACCCUGUUUUGUUGGUUUCUAGGAUUGACGUA